rnacentral:piRNA from 1 species
UCCAUGAUAAUAAACUCUUCC